UACGGGGGGGGCAAGCGUUGUUCGGAAUUACUGGGCGUAAAGGGCUCGUAGGCGGCCAACUAAGUCAAACGUGAAAUCCCUCGGCUUAACCGGGGAACUGCGUCUGAUACUGGAUGGCUUGAGUUUGGGGAGAGGGAUGCGGAAUUCCAGGUGUAGCGGUGAAAUGCGUAGAUAUCGUAAGGAAGACCAGUGGGCGAAGGCGGGGUCUCUGGACAGUUCCUGA
rnacentral:rRNA from 1 species